UCAAAAAAAAAAAAAAGAACUUAGGCCGGAGGUCUGUGCCUGGCAACCACAGAUCUAGAGUGUAUGUCAAAGGUGAAGGCUCAAGGUUAGUGGAGGUACAAGAUGAAGCCAAGAGGCUGCAGGUAAGAAGCCACAAUGUCAGGCUCCAGCUACCACCAGCCUGUCCAAAAGGGGACACCAAAGGAGAGGAGGAAGUCUGAGAGACACCUCUCUGCACCAUGGCCAUCUUAGUAGUCAGACCCAGAACAAAACUCUCUGAUGAGUGUGCGGAGCGUCGCUUCUGGUCUUUGCUCAAACUAUUCACUGAAGAUUUAAAGCAAUCCCGUGAGUGAUACAUUUGGGUGAAUUUGUUCUCUAGAAGGUAUCACAGAAAUCUGGUCACUGGGCCACCCGAGACAUCCUGAUAGGCCCUCUGGUAACCCAUCACAUGCUGCAGACUGACUCUGGGGGCCUAGAACCCAGAUCAGAAGCAACCUUGACCCCGGCCCACCCGCCACGGAAGCACCAUCAUCUCUCUGAUUAAAAACCUCGAUCACGGACCCGGGGGCGUGCCCGGAAGAGCUAAGAUAAUCAGCGUCAGCACUUUGCCUUCGCCGUCCAAGACUGCAGACGGCCUUCAUUUGACCUGAUUCGUGGUGUUAAUGACAGCAGAGCAAUUUUGAGAGGCAGCUUGCUCUCGGCAUCUAUAAGGAGAGGAAAAGCACUGAGGGCUGGGGACCAAGCUCCUUGCAGAGGCGGCAGCUGCAGUCACCCUCCCCCUCCACCCCUGCCCCUCCCCUCCCCUCCAGAGGCACUUUGAGUAAGUGCUGCCCUCCGAUCUGCCCUGAUACGAUGGGAGAAAGCUGAUGUGAGGGCUGGAGCCAGAGUGUGCAAGGGGACAGUGUGUGCAUGUGCGUGUGUCGGGGAGAGGUACCCGUGCUAUACCUGAGAACAUUGCUGGGUGAACACAGCCUUGGACCUGGAAGAGCGCAUAGCUUACUUAGAGGCAUGGGCUGCACAUGAGCUGCCCAUUUACCUGCUCAUUUAGAAGCUACUAUGAAGGCUGGUGAGAUGGCUCAGCGGGCAAGAGCACUGGCUGCUUUUCCGAAGGUUCUGAGUUCAAAUCCCAGCGACCACAUGGUGGCUCACAACCAUCUGUAAUGGGAUCUGAUGCCCUCUUCUGGGGAAGGAGAGCCAGAGGACAGGAGGAAGCUUGAAGCCGCUGGAAUGAGGAAAAGCUUUACACAGACAAGGGCUGUCUUGCUCAUUGUCGAUUCCCGGCACCGGAGGACAGUGCAGGUACCAAGAGAUCAUGUGCGGCAGGCGCUUGAUUCAUCUGAAAUGCCCACUCUUGCCCUUGGAAGCACCGAGUCCUUGGAAAGACCCCCAGAGUCCUCUUCAGUAUAUCAAAGAAGUGCCCAUCACGCGCAUCAUUAAACAUUUAUUCUGCAUGUGUCAGGAACGCAUCGAGGGAACUGUGUGUCAACAAUCUGGCUGACACCAUCAGGGUCUGAGGCCAGAGCCUCGCAGAAAGGAAGGAUAAGAUGUUUCCAUCUUAUUUACUGAGAAUCUGCCACGAACACAGCAUCGAGAAUCUCACAUCUGCCGCCCACUCAGUCCUCGACACUGCCGUCCCACUUAACAAAUCUCUGCUUCUGCACCGCCUGCUGCACCCAGUCAUCUCUAGGGUGGAGGGCUCAGGCGGCCAGAGCGUCAGGCUCAAUGCAGGGCAGUUCAGACACACAGCUCUAGAGUUUCCCACUGGCUGCACUUCCUCAGGUGAGGUACCUGGACCCAGUCCUCUCCAGCGGCUUCAUUCUCCCAAGCUCGCGGAGCUGGGAGCCCCGGACAGGAUGCAAGCCUUGGGUCUUGUAGGCUGAGACCCUGACCCCAUGCAGACCUCAUCCUGAUGCUCAGAGCAACGCCCAUCUUCCAGUCUCACCACAUCCCAGCAUAAACAUCACAGCCUGUCACUUCCCUUGAUUCUCCUCCCUGGCAAACUUCAUCCAGUGUCAGUGCCACAGAAAACUUAAAAGAUGGCUCUGCAGAUCUGGAAACUGAGGCCCAUGGGGGGGAAAGAAAUCCCUCUAGGGCUGUUUGCCAGUGAGUGGUAAUUAGCAACAAAAGCUAAUACAUGCUCAGAUUCAAA